UACGAAGGGGGCUAGCGUUGUUCGGAUUUACUGGGCGUAAAGCGCACGUAGGCGGAUCGAUCAGUCAGGGGUGAAAUCCCAGAGCUCAACUCUGGAACUGCCUUUGAUACUGUCGAUCUGGAGUAUGGAAGAGGUGAGUGGAAUUCCGAGUGUAGAGGUGAAAUUCGUAGAUAUUAGGAAGAACACCAGUGGCGAAGGCGGCUCACUGGCCCGGUACUGACGCUGAUGCGCGAAAGCGUGGGGAGCAAACAGG
rnacentral:rRNA from 1 species